AGCUUAAGUCACAGCUUUAAAAAUAACUAAAUUACUUUAAAAUGCAUGUUUGUAAAAAAAAAACUGAAUUUAAAAUUAUUUACUUCCUGCUGUUUUAAGGGAGUGAAAACUAAAAAAUAAAAAAUAAGUUAAAAGCCUUAGUUUUGAAAUUCAAAAUGGUUAGAAAACUAUUUUAUUGUCUAUUAAUUCACUGAUUAUUAAUACAGCGACAGAUUUUUUUAAUUAGCUUAUUUUAAGCCUUGAAUAAGGCUCGAGAAUCAAGCUUUUCUGAAUCUGUCCUCUGUGUUGAAAAUGGUAGUUUCUGCAUGAAAACUGAAGAAUUAAGGCUAAAAUAUGAGCAGAUAGUUUGGAAUUUACACUUGAAGAGGGAGAACAACUCUACCAAUUUUCUUGGAUAAGUUAUCUGCUUCCUAUGACUUUGCUGUAUUCCCAGGAGGAGACAGAGGAGGACAGUGACCUGUCAGAUUAUGGUGAUGAUGUGGAUGGGAGGAAAGACGCCUUGGCUGAACCAUGUUUCAUGUUGAUUGGGGAGAUUUUUGAACUUCGAGGAAUGUUUAAAUGGGUGAGAAGAACAUUAAUUGCCCUCGUUCAGGUCACUUUUGGAAGAACCAUCAACAAACAAAUCCGGGACACAGUCAACUGGAUUUUCAGUGAGCAAAUGUUGAUUUACUACAUCAAUAUUUUCCGGGAUGCUUUUUGGCCAAAUGGGAAGUUGGCACCACCGACCACAAUCAGGAGCGAAGAGCAAAGUCAG
rnacentral:sRNA from 1 species